rnacentral:rRNA from 1 species
UACGAGGGGGGCGAGCGUUGUUCGGAAUUAUUGGGCGUAAAGGGUGCGUAGGCGGUUCCGCAAGUCCUGGUGUGAAAUCUUCGGGCUCAACUCGAAGUCUGCACGGGAAACUGCGGGGCUUGAGGUGUGGGAGGAGGUGAGUGGAAUUCCCGGUGUAGCGGUAGAAAUGCGUAGAUAGUCGGGAGGAACACCUGUGGCGAAAGCGGCUCACUGGACCAUAACUGACGCUGAUGCACGGAAAGCUGGGGGAGCAAACAGG